ACUUAAAACUCAAAGGACUUGACGGUGUCCCAAACCAGCCUAGAGGAGCCUGUCCUAUAAUCGACACCCCACGCUAAACCUCACCCCCUCUUGCAAACCAGUCUGUAUACCGCCGUCUACCAGUUCACCUCAUGAGAGACCCACAGCGAACACGCCAGCCUACCACUCAGACGACAGGUCAAGGUGCAGCCAAUGAGGAGGCAGAGAUGGGCUACAUUUUCUACCCCAUUAGAACACCACCACCCGCCAAAUGAAACACAGGCCAGAAGGCGGAUUUAGCAGUAAGCCAAACA
rnacentral:rRNA from 1 species